UUAUGCAACAAAAUAUAGCAAAAGAUGUAUUAAAGGAAAACAACAGAAUGAGAAAAAUAUAUCACCAAUCUAACUGCAAAUGAUUAAAAUUGGUAGAAAUGUAUAAUGUGCAGGUCUAGAUGCCUUUCCAGGAAGUGAGCAAAGGAUGAGUUCAACUGGUUUGCUCAGGAGCCACUGUCACAGCCCAAGGGAGCCACAGUGUGGCCUAGAGUGAGCCCAGCUUCAGUAAUGAUUCAGAGUCCACACACCCAACUUGCUUGAUGAGCCUGUGCCUCUCCCUUCUUAUGGAAAAUGGAUAUUUAUAUGGUUUGGCUGUGUCCCCACCCAAAUCUCAUCUUGAAUUUCUACGUGUUGUGGGAGGGACCCAGUGGUAAUUGAAUCAUGGGGGCGGGGCUUUCUCGUGCUGUUCUUGUGAUAGUAAGUCUCACGAGAUCUGAUGGCUUUAAAAAGAGCAGUUCCCCUGCACAAGCUCUCUCUCUUUGCCUGCUGCCAUCCACGUUGAGAUGUGACUUGCUCCUCCUUGCCUUCUGCCAUGAUUGUGAGGCUUCCCCAGUCACGUCGAACUGUAAGUCCAAUUAAGCCUGUUUCCUUUGUAAAUUGCCCAGUCUGAGGCAUGUCUUUAUCAGCAGUGUGAAAACAGACUAAUACAGAUAUGAUUACAUCCACUUUGCAGGAUUCUCAUGAGGACAAAUUAGAGCACAUGUCACUAUAGCCAGCACUCAAGAAAUGGGAUUAUCACCAGAGGGAAAAAUGCACAGCCUCACCAGCUAUUAAACAUAUGGAAAUGAUGACAAUUUAAAGUUAUAAAUAACAUUAGCGGUGGCUUGGAUUUAUUGUUGUGGCCUCUGGAAGAACUUGGGCACAGUGUAACUUCCUGGGGCCCGAAGUUGUUAAUCGGUGAAUUGUUCAUGAAGGACAGUGCUCACUGUGAAGGUGGGUGUCCUGGAAUGCUCUGCCUGGCCCGCGGGAGACAAGGCUAUGGCCUGACAUCCCUCAGCCUGUCCUCAUUGUCCUGGCUCUGAGAAGAAG
rnacentral:lncRNA from 1 species